rnacentral:rRNA from 1 species
UACAGAGGUCUCAAGCGUUGUUCGGAUUCAUUGGGCGUAAAGGGUGCGUAGGUGGCGCUGUAAGUCGGGUGUGAAAUUUCGGAGCUUAACUCCGAAACUGCAUUCGAUACUGCGGUGCUUGAGGACUGGAGAGGAGACUGGAAUUCAUGGUGUAGCAGUGAAAUGCGUAGAGAUCAUGAGGAAGACCAGUGGCGAAGGCGGGUCUCUGGACAAUUCCUGACACUGAGGCGCGAAAGCGUGGGGAGCAAACGGG